AGAGUUUGAUCAUGGCUCAGAACGAACGCUGGCGGCAGGCUUAAUACAUGCAAGUCGAGCGGGCACUUCGGUGUCAGCGGCGCACGGGUGCGUAACGCGUGGGAACAUGCCCUUAGGUACGGAACAACACAGGGAAACUUGUGCUAAUACCGUAUAAUAUCUCCGGAUCAAAGAUUUAUCGCCUAAGGAUUGGCCCGCGUUAGAUUAGGUAGUUGGUGGGGUGAUGGCCUACCAAGCCGACGAUCUAUAGCUGGUCUGAGAGGAUGAUCAGCCACACUGGAACUGAGACACGGUCCAGACUCCUACGGGAGGCAGCAGUAAGGAAUAUUGGACAAUGGGGGAAACCCUGAUCCAGCCAUGCCGCGUGAGUGAUGAAGGCCUUAGGGUUGUAAAGCUCUUUUAGAUGGGAAGAUAAUGACUGUACCAUCAGAAUAAGCCCCGGCUAAAUUCGUGCCAGCAGCCGCGGUAAUACGAAUGGGGCAAGCGUUGUUCGGAAUCACUGGGCGUAAAGCGUGUGUAGGCGGUUAAUCAAGUCAGAAGUGAAAUCCCAGGGCUUAACCCUGGAAUUGCUUUUGAAACUGAUUGGCUAGAGUACUGGAGAGGUUAGCAGAAUUCCGAGUGUAGAGGUGAAAUUCGCAGAUAUUCGGAGGAAUACCAGUGGCGUAAGCGGCUAACUGGACAGUAACUGACGCUGAGACACGAAAGCGUGGGGAUCAAACAGGAUUAGAUACCCUGGUAGUCCACGCUGUAAACGAUGUAUGUUAGUUGUCGGAAGGUUUACCUUUCGGCGACAAAGCUAACGCAUUAAACAUACCGCCUGGGGAGUACGGUCGCAAGAUUAAAACUCAAAGGAAUUGACGGGGACCCGCACAAGCGGUGGAGCAUGUUGUUUAAUUCGAAGCAACGCGAAAACCUUACCUACACUUGACAUACCCAGUAUGGAUUUCAGAGAUGAUUUCC
rnacentral:rRNA from 1 species